GGUGUCUGGUACAACAGACUUGAUUCCUCCCUCCGCGCCCAGGUGGCUGACCUUGGGGGCGGAGACCUUGGGACGGAGUGUUUCUCAACGGGGGGGGGGCGUGGGGGCGAGGGGUGCCCUUUCCCUGCUCGGCCCCAGCCCCGGCGCGGUGCCAGGGCAGCCCCGCCUGGGUGAACCGGCUUGGGAGGGAAAACGGCAGCCGGGGGAAGUGGAGGCCGGCGGGGGCAGGGACGGCAGGAUAAAGGGGAAGCAGGGCGGCUCUGCGGCAGCUCGCCCGCGCUGCACUCUCCAGCCCCUGGCGGUAUCCUGGCUCUGCCCUGCUCCAGAGAGAACACCCAGCAUCAGCAUAGGCGGGGGGAGACAGAGAGGCAGCGGGCCUUUCACUGUCCCAUCACACAGACACAUAGACACACAAACACAUCAAUCAUCAAGUGACUGACUCGUCACCAGAUGUGCAGGAUUGGGAGGCUGGGGAGAUGACUGCUUUCAUAAGUGCUUGGGCACAGCGUGAGGACCUGAGUUUGAUCCCCAGAACCGACAGACAGGCCAGGUGUGGCAGCACAGGCCUAUAAUCCCAGCACUGAGGAGAUUGAGACAGCAGAAUCCCUGGGGCGUGGCUAGGCAGACAGUCCAGACAAAUCGAUGGCCUCCAGGUUCAGUGAGAGAUCUUGUCUCAAAAACUAAAGUGGAAAAUGAUUGACAAAGACACGGAUUUUUGCCUUUACACACACACACACACACACACACAUGCACACACACACACACACACACACACACACACACACUAAAAAACAAAACAAACAAACAAAAAAACACACGCAUACGUAUACAGGUUUUUCCCACAGCAACCAAUUCCCCAACACCAGCUGGGUGUCCUGGAGUUCAGUUCUGACACUAACACCUGGAGUUAGAUUCCAUAGCUUUUCCAUGUUACCAUAUGAAAACUGUGUUUUGAGCACUUGACCCCCCCCCCCCAGCUUGUGGCACUAUUUGAAGGCUCUGGAGCCCUUAGAAGGUGGGGCCUAACAGGCAGAAGUGAGUCACCAAGGGCAACUUAGUGGGGGUUUUACCACUUUCUACUUUCUGUCUCUGUCCAUGAUGUGAGGAGCCCCAACCAUGCACUCCUGUUGCUAAGGAUGGAGCCCCUCCCACCACCAUAUCCUCCAUGCCACGACGGACUGAUGUCCUCCGGAAACCAUGGAGACAAAACAAGCCUUUCCAAACACUCACCACAUAGCUCUCAUUUGUAGCUGACUCCAAAGCACCUUCUCUGUCCUCAACUUAGGCUCUUUUAUUUCCUGUCCUAAAGUUGUGUGUUCAUGAAUUUGAGCAAGUCAUUACUACCUGUGCUAACAUGGAGUGGACGUUUCUAUGUGCUGGACACUGGUCUAAGCACAUGGCAUCUAUCUACUAGUUUAAUAUUCACCAAAUUAUUAGUAGGUAUUCUUACCACACCCAAUUUGCAGGCUACAAAACUGAGGCUCGAGAUUCUCAUCAUUAGUAAGCAAUAAGGUAAAAAGCCACAUAAGCACAGAGCUUGACACUCUGGUGUCAUACCAUAACAUAUUAAGUAAGGUACAACUUUCUGACUCUAAAACAACCACAACUGAGCCAAACCCUGGUUGUCCCCAUUGCAGUGAACCUUGUGUCUUGUUAAUGUCUGUUUCCUGAGACAGGGACUCACUCAGUAGUCUUAUGUUAGCCUGAAACUCACUGUGUACCUCAAGAUAGCCUCCAACUUAAAGCAAUCCUCCUGCCGCAGUUCCUAGGUGCUGAGACUACCAUUGUGAGCCUCCAUGUGUUAUUGUUUUGUUUAAAAAGAAGAAAAGAGAAAUGCUGAGACAUGAGACAUGUUGACUAUAAGUUUAUUAUGAGACCUGGCAGAGUAGGGAGACUAAGAAGAGGAACAGGGGUAAAAUGGCUGACCGCCAUGGCCGGUCGCCAUAGAGAGACAGAGCGAGCACAUAGGUGAGAGAGUAGAGAGGAAGCAGAGAGGAAACAGAGAGCAUAAAUGGGCAGGGACCUGUCUUUUAAAGGGGUCCUCUGCACCUGCGUGCAGACUUAGUUCCCAUGGAACCUUGGGCUGACCAGGGUACUGCCUGUUCCACCAGGUAACAGGGGCAGGCCAGCAUAAUGCCUGAACCUUUCACCAUGCCUGACUGUGAACUGUGCCAUUUGAGAUUCCAACAUCACAUUUUGUUUUCUGUGCAAAGCCUCUCAGCCCAGCCACACAGCAGGGCACUUGUCAUUGUGCUUGGCGCAUGCUCUUAGCCCCCUUUGUGUCACCCAGUCCCAGGGACUGCAGAAGUGCUGCUUCCCGAGCUGGAUGGUUCUGAGGCUUGUGUUCUUCCCUCUGGAGCCCAUUGUUCCCUGGUCCUUUUCUUUCUAUUUUGUGUUGUUUGGACCCAUCGCGGUUACUGACCAUUGUUGUAGGGUUUUUUGUUUUGUUUUGGUUUUUGGUUUUUCGAGACAGGGUUUCUCUGUGGCUUUGGAGCCUAUCCUGGCACUCGCUCUGUAGACCAGGCUGGUCUCGAACUCACAGAGAUCCACCUGCCUCUGCCGCCUGAGUGCUGGGAUUAAAGGCAUGCGCCACCAACGCCCGGCCCGUUGUUGUAGUUUAAUCACUGUUGCUGUGAUAAUUUAGGAGAGGAAAGGGUUUAUUUCAACUUACACUUCCAGGUCACAGUUCAUCACUGAAGAAAAUUCAGGCAGGAACUUGAAGCAGACACCAUGAAGGAACCCUUCUUACUGGUUCACAGUUUCAUGCUUAUUUAACUUUCUCAUACAGCUCAGGACCACCUGCCCAAGGAAUGGUGCCACCUGCAGUGGCCUGGACCCUCCUGUAACAGUUAACAAAAGACAGUCCUGCAUAACAUGCCCACAGGACAAUCUGUUCUGGGCAAUCCCUCAGUCAGACUCCUUUCUCGGCAGACUCUGGGCUGUAUCAAGUUGGCAGUUAAAGUUCACUAGGACGACCUAUUUCAUGUUUCCCCAGUCUUGUCUUGGGCUCCAGCUCUUCUCUCUCCUGGCUACCUUUUCCUUUCUUGUGUUUAAAUAGCCUCACAUCUACCUGCCCUUUCUUCUGCCUCAACUUGAAUCCUAAACCCAUGAGGGAGCUGCGUCUGAGCAAUGUCAACUCUUCCUGCCUGUUCCCCUUCCUCCAGGGAGCGCCUGCUCAUUGCUCCCCGAGCCUCUUAUCCUAUGCAGUCCAGCUGUGUUGGGGACAACCGUCCCUCGGUUUACCUCCUCUUACUGACUGUUCCGGAAGGAGUGCAGUCUCUCCUCUGGAGGUGACAGUCACUCACACUUAUCCUUUAAUAGGACUUGCAUGUAAGCAACAAAAUGGCUGCUGUUUGCGCCCACUCUGAUCGAUUUCUCUUCCCCUGGGGAAAGUGGCUGGUGUGAAUGCAGGGGUAUCCCUUUCAUUUCCUGAGAACAAUAGCCAUGACUCAGCUCUUCCCGAGGAUGCCUGAUCAGCUCAUCCUGUGACCUCUAAUCAGUCUUCACCCCCCUUGCCCUUGCCCCCAUUGUUAGGUUUUUCCUUAAAUUAAAAAGAAAGAAAAAGAAGAAGCGCAGGAUGAGACAUGAGACUAAGAGACAUAUUAACCAGUUUAUCAUAGGCCUGGCCGAGUAGAGACACUAAGAGAGAAGAGGAACAGGGUUAAUGACUGACCGCCAUGCCGUUGCCAUAGAGGGGCAGAGAGAGCGUAAGAGAAGAGGCAGAGAGGAGAAGAGGGGCAGAGAGAGCGUAAAUGGGCAAGGCUCUGUCUUUAAAGGGGUCCUCUACACUUGCGUGUGCAGACUUAGUUCCCGGGGAAUACUGGGCUGACCAGGGUACUGCCUGAGUAGAUUCCACCAGGUAACAGGGGUAGGCCAGCAUAAUGCCUGAACCUUUCACCCAUGCCUUUGAGAACACUUAGUUACAAGGCCGCCCAGCACUGAGACAUGUUUUCACCUUUCUUUGUUCAGGGAUCCUGCCACUGGAUAUUCUGGAAUAACCUAGACACACUUGAGGUCCCACCUUCUGUUGCUGAUUCAGACUCCGCAGCCAUGUCUGAAAACAUACUACAAGGACACAGACAGCAAAGGCACAUUGGGGUCUGACGUAGAUUUAAGAAAUAGGUUGUUGCCAACACAAACACAGCUGCUGCCUGCAGCUACAUCCUGGUUUCUACUCAGGUCUGGGGACCUUUCGUUCUCAGAAGUCACUUUAGAGUAGAGAACAAAUGUGGAGUUGGCAACAAGGCCCAGUGUGCGAAGGCACUUGCUCCCAAGCCUGGCAGCCUGAGUUUGAUACCCACAGCAAGCCUGAGCAGAUGAACUACUCGACAGGACUACCUUGGAUCUUGGCCCCAGAAUUCCUGGAGGCAUGGGUACCUGAGGCCAUCUUAUGGUGUCCAUUCUGUGCAGCUGAGUUCAUAGUCUUGUAAGCCUUUUGCAUUUCCGUUUUCCCUCUACAGCCGCUCUACCAUCUCUACAGAGCGACAGAGAGCCAAGCACAGUCACAAGGUGAGAGUGGGGUGGAGAUGGAGGGAACCAGCUCUGGAAAGCCAGCUCUGCUAUCACAGCUUAGCACAGUUUAGCACAGUGGUUGUCAAUCUGUGGGUCAGGACCCCUUUUGGGGGUCACAUAAGAUCAUUGGAAAACACAGAUUUCUGUAUUAUGAUUCCUAACAGCAGCAAAAUUACAGUUAUGAAAUAGGAAUGAAAAUAAUUUUAUAGUUGGGAGGGUCACCACAACAUGAGGGCAGUUUAUACAAAACUUUAUACUUUAUACAGAACUGUAUAAAGUCGCAGCAUUAGGAAGUUUGAGAGCCACUGUCUUAGCAAGAUAUUCUCCUUGGCCUCUUGUUAGUAAAGUAUGUUGCCAUGAGCUUCCAAAUCGCUGAUCAUACUCAUAUUCAUUCCCAAUUGCUGAUAUAGCAACUUACCACAAAUGUCUUUAAAAGAGUUGUUGGUUUAUUUUUAUCGUAUUAUUUUAUUUCAUGUGUAUGUGUGUAUAUGCAGCUCAUAUGAUGGUUUUGAGCCACCAUACUGGUUCUGGGAACUGAACCCUGAUCCCCUGAAAGAGCAAGUGCUUUUAAAUAUGGAACCAUUUCUCCAAUCUCACAGACGAUGUUUUAAAACAACACCAGUAAGGAAUGGAAACAUGGCUCUGUGGUUAAGAGCACUGGCUGCUCUUCCAGAGGACCCAGGUUCAAUUCCCAGCAUCCACAUGGUGGUCACAGCUGUCUGUAACUCCAGGAGAGCCAAAGUCCUCUUCUGGCCUCUGUGGGUUCGAGGCUUGCAUGUGAUACACAGAUAGGCAUUAUGCAAAGCAACCAUAUACAUAAAAUAAUAAAAAAAAACUAACAUGUAAUCUCAUGGUUCUAGCGGUCUAAAAUGAAUCCUCCGAGGACUAGAAACAAGUACCAGCAGCAGCUGCAAACAGACUCUAUUCCUUGCCUUCAUGCCUCCUAGAGGCAGCCCGUGUUCACUGAGAGGGACACCAUUCCAUCUCCCACCUCCAUCUUCAUGUCUUCUUUUGUUCCAGAUGCUCUUGCCACUUUCUUUUCUUUUGUUUCUUCUUUGUUUUGUUUUGUUUUUUUGUUUUUCGACACAGGGUUUCUCUGUAUUGUUUUGGAGCCUGUCCUGGAACUCGCUCUGUAAAUCAGGCUGGCCUCGAACUCACAGAGAUCCUCCAGCCUCUGCCUUCCGAGUGCUGCGAUUAAAGGCGUGCGCCACCAACGCCUGGCUCUCUUGUCACUUUCUUAUGCAGACCUAUGUUAUUACCCUGGACAAGCCAUAGGAACCUCUCCCUUUCAGAAUCCUUAGUCAUACCAGUAAGAUCUCACCUGCCAUGUAAGGUAAUAAAUAUUUGCACACAUUCUGGGAUAAGAACCUUGGCAAAUUGGGGAGCCAUUAUUUGGCCCACCACAGUACCAAACAGGAGAACACAUGUAUCCAUGUGUAAUUUUUUAUGAAAUAUCAUUCUUACAGAAAAGUAGACAAUGAUGCCAUUUUUCUUUCUUUUUUACUUUAUUUUUCCACACAGGGUUUCUCUGUGUAGCUUUGUGGACCAGGCUGGCCUCAAACUCAAAGAUCCAUCUAUCUCUACCUUCCGAGUGCUAGGACUAAAGGUGUGCAUCAUCACCACCUGGUGCAUGAUGCCAUUUUUAUAAAAUUCUAUGUACUCAACACCAGCUGGAUUCGAUCUCAGCAUUUCCCUACUUUAUCCAGUAAUGAACUUUAAGGAUUAGAAUGUAGAUAGAGUACUUGCCUAGCAUAUGCAAGGCUCUGGGUUUGGUCCCCAGACAGCAAAAAGUAUUAAAAUUAAGUAUGGAAGAUUUUAUGUGAAGCUCCCUACUUUGUAGGUACCCCAGUUUCCCCUCUUCAUGAAAAUUCAAGUAAUUAUCUGUCUCCCCCGUCCCUCCACCACUGCCCUGAUAUAUUACGUGCACAUUAUAUUCGUGUGUGUGUGUGUGUGUGUGUGUGUGUGUGUGUGUGUGUGUGCAGGUACUGAAGACCACAAGUGGACAUUGGAUGUCUUGUUCUACUCCUGUCUUCCUUAUGCCCUUGAAAUGACACCUUUUGCUGAACUGGGAGCUAGGAGAGUAACCAGCAAGCCUCAGCAAGCCUCCUGUCUGUCCCUGCCCACUGCCCCACAAUGUUGAGCAUACAAGUGUUUGUAUGACCACAUCCAGUUCUUUACUUGGGUGGUGGGGAUUCAAACCCAGAUCCUCGUGCCUACACAGCAUAGUCUUACUCACUGAGCCAUCUCUCCAGCCCUUUCAAGUGUCUUUAGAAAUAUAGAAUUAUCAUCCCCAUGCUUGGCUUUAUAUAUUCAGUGCCUUUUUGCUACCUACAAGACAUUAAGGCCUAACAGGUAAUAUUUACAUAUGAUGUGAACCUAUGGUGGUCACCUCCAGAAAGUUUCCUAAGCCAGCCCUCCUACUCUGGCCAUCAUCUCAUUCGAAAGGUGUCAGCCUCGGAAUACAGGUGAGAUGGAGGGCAUAGAACGGCCAUUUCCUCUGGGAGCACAUUAUAAUGCUGAGAAUAAUGCAGUACGACUUUCCUUUCGGCCACCACCUACAAACCACAACACAGAGACUUCUUACUAAUUAUGAAAGCCUGGCCUUUAGCUUGUCCCCAACUACCUUUUAUAACUUAAAUUAAUCUGCUUCUAUUAAUCUAUGUUCUACCACGUAGCCGUCCCCACGCUUCUUCAUUUCUGUACCUCUGACUUGGUCUGCAUCCCCUGGCAUCUCCACCUCUCUUCUUCCCAGAGUUCUCUCUGCCGAGAAGUCCCAUCUGUUCUCUCCUGCCUAGCUAUCUCUUUAUUAAACCAAUCACAAUGACUCAUCUUCAUGUUGGGAGCCAUACAGCUUGGCAUGAACCUUUAGGCCAAACUUGGCAAGCCACACGGUUAUAGAACUGUCUUUUGAUUAUAAAUGGCUUCUAGAAGCAUGAGCACCCAGAAGGAACAAAAUGACCCAGACAUCAAUCCUUUGUUCCAACCACAGGACCACUUACCUAAACUACCUUCCUUCUUCCCACCACUCACCUAGGUAACUCUCCCUCUCCCCACCACCCAUGAACUUUUUACCCUGCCAACAUCCUCUUUCUAUAGUUUUCUAACAUCCUGCUUAAACUAACACCUGGCUCCUGGCCUUUUCUCCCCCUCCUCUUUACUCCAUACGACUAUAUAAGCUACCCUGGAAAAAAUAAAAUUUGCCACUUGAUCAGAAUCCUGUCUUGUGGUCAUUCUCUCGUGUCUCUUGUCCCCAUUCUCCUCCCUGGACUUCUUGCUCUAGGUUGCUGUCCUGUGGGUCGAGACAACUACAUCUUCACAUAGCAUAAAGGAAUAUCCUGCAACAGAAUAGCUCUAAUAUAUGACAUGGUUCCUGUGUUAGUUAUUUUUCUCAUUGAUGUGACCAAAUACUUGGCAAGAUGAGACUAAAGGAGGGAAGGGAUUCUUCUAGCUCAUAGCUUGCAGGCAGGAACUGGUAGAGAAGUGGAGGCUGCAAGAGUACGAGGCUUCUGGUCACAUUGGAUCCACAGUCAGGAAGCAGACAGGACUAAUGUUGGCAUGCCUGCUUGUACUCAGUCCUCUAAAACCCCAGCUAGAGAGCUGGCUCAGAGGUUAACAGCAUGUGUUGCUCUUGCAGAGGACCCAGGUUUGGUCCCUAGUAUGCAUAUGAUAACUCACAACCAUCUGUAACUCCAGUUCCAGGGGAAUCAGACACUGUCUUCUGACCUCCAUAGGCACCAGGCACAUCACACACACACACACACACACACACACACACACACACACACACACACAGAGUGAGCAGGCAUACAUGUAAGCAAGAUAAAAUAAAUCUUAAAAAAAAUUAAAACCUCAGCUCCUGGGGUGGUACCACCCACAUUCAAGAUGGGACUUUUCAAUUAAUCCUUUCUGGAAAUACCCUCAGAAUAAAUCCCUGACAUGUUUCCAUGGAAAUUCUAAAUAACAGGCAUCACAGUCUGUCAACGCAAGGCAACCCCUUUACCUGAUGCUCAGCAGAACAGGGUGAUCAGUUGCCAGGGUAGAGGACACAAAGCUGAAUCAGCCCUGCAGAGCAGAAAUGAUGGCUUCCCAUGUGAGAGUUUUCACUCAGACCCUGACCCUGGAACCUAACUGGUCCAUGGGAGGGAAUGGAGUGUUGGGCCAUGGAUAGGAUUUGGUGAGGACCAUGGGAAGAUUGAGUGGGGGGUGGCAAAGGCUUUCCUGGCAGAGGGAAGAGCAUAUGCAGAGGGUGUUGUGAUACGAAUGCGCUGGCUGAAGCAUUGGAAGGAAGUGAGAGGUGGUGAGGACCAGAGCUUUCAGUCCUUGUGUGCUGUGCUGUGAAUUUUCCCCUCUCGGUUAUGGAGACAGACAGCCUGAAAGAGGGAAUAAUGUCAACUCACCUGAGUGGGAUUUCUUGCCAUGGCAGGUCUUGGCUGGUGUGAUCCCCCUAGCAUGCUUUUUUCUUUCUUUCUUUUUUCUUUUUUUUCCUAGUCGAAAAGAUUUAAUGAAAUAAUAAGUGUAAAGACGGUGCAGCAUGUCCAAAGCAUUCACUAAAUGGCAACAGAACUCCUACUCAGUAUUAUUGUUGUUGAAGGCCUUCGGCCAGGGCAAGGCAGGAGCAACCUUCCCUGCUACCCUGUGGGUGAGAGAAGAGGAUUAGUGGUUCCAGAGCCCUGCAGGCUUCCUUUCUUGGCUGACUGUACAGAAGGUUCCAGGAAAGCUGGCAGGCAUCAUGAGUACUGACCUCCCAGGGAACUUCCCAGCAGUUCAGCCGCCCAGGGAGCUGGAGAGAAAACCUGAAUCAUGUUUCUGUUGAGGCCAGGGUUCCCAGCUUUCUCAGACCUCCCCUGUAGUUCCAGCCGUGUUUACAGCACACAUGAGGCCAGUCAAGGGGGUGGGGUGGGUGCUGGCAGCAUAGCUGUGGUCAUAAGAUCUCCAAACCAAG
ensembl:lncRNA